UACGGGGGGGAGCAAACGUUGUUCGGAAUCACUGGGCGUAAAGGGCGUGUAGGCGGCUGAAUAAGUGGGAUGUUAAAUCCCCCCGGCUCAACCGGGGACCUGCAUCUCAUACUGUUCAGCUCGAGCACAUCAGAGGAGACUGGAAUUCCCGGUGUAGCGGUGAAAUGCGUAGAUAUCUGGAGGAACACCGGUGGCGAAGGCGGCAUCCUGGACCGGCAUUGACGCUGAGGCGCGAAAGCCAGGGGAGCAAACGGG
rnacentral:rRNA from 1 species